rnacentral:rRNA from 1 species
UACGGAGGAUCCUAGCGUUAUCCGGAAUUAUUGGGUUUAAAGGGUCCCGUAGGCGGCUUGAUAAGUCAGCGGUGAAAGUUUUUGGCUUAACCAAAAAAUUGCCGUUGAUACUGUUUAGCUUGAAUAAUUGUGAAGUAACUAGAAUAUGUAGUGUAGCGGUGAAAUGCUUAGAUAUUACAUGGAAUACCAAUUGCGCAGGCAGGUUACUAAUAAUUUAUUGACGCUGAUGGACGAAAGCGUGGGUAGCGAACGGGAUUAGAUACCCCCGUAGUCCUGAGCGGGCUGG